rnacentral:rRNA from 1 species
UACGAAGGGGGCUAGCGUUGCUCGGAAUCACUGGGCGUAAAGGGCGCGUAGGCGGGAAUGUAAGUCGGGCGUGAAAUCCCCAGGCUCAACCUGGGAACUGCACUCGAAACUGCGUUUCUUGAGUAUCGGAGAGGAAAGCGGAAUUCCUGGUGUAGAGGUGAAAUUCGUAGAUAUCAGGAGGAACACCAGUGGCGAAGGCGGCUUUCUGGACGGUAACUGACGCUGAGGCGACGAAAGCGUGGGGAGCAAACAGG